UUGCCCUUAGUUACCAUCGGGUCAUGCCGGGGACUCUAAGGGGACUGCCCCGGAAAACGGGGAGGAAGGUGGGGAUGACGUCAAGUCCUCAUGGCCUUUAUGUCUCGGGCUACACACGUGCUACAAUGGGCGAUACAAAGGGUCGCAACGCCGCGAGGCUGAGCUAAUCCCAAAAAAUCGCCCUCAGUUCGGAUUGGAGUCUGCAACCCGACUCCAUGAAGUUGGAAUCGCUAGUAAUCGCGGAUCAGCACGCCGCGGUGAAUACGUUCCCGGGCCUU
rnacentral:rRNA from 1 species